UACAGAGGGGGCAAGCGUUGUUCGGAAUUACUGGGCGGAAAGGGCGCGUAGGCGGCCUGCUAAGUCGAACGUGAAAUCCCUGGGCUCAACCCAGGAACUGCGUCCGAUACUGGAUGGCUUGAAUCCGGGAGAGGGAUGCGGAAUUCCAGGUGUAGCGGUGAAAUGCGUAGAUAUCUGGAGGAACACCGGUGGCGAAGGCGGCAUCCUGGACCGGCAUUGACGCUGAGGAGCGAAAGCCAGGGGAGCAAACGGG
rnacentral:rRNA from 1 species